rnacentral:misc_RNA from 1 species
GUAGGUGAACCUGCGGAAGGAUCAUUAAAACGUAUCCACGUAUCAACCAAUCGUGAACUGUAACCUCUUUGGAACUUAACGGAAUGGCCUCUUCGAUUCCGCUUUCGUGAUGAAAAGGCAAACACUCUUCGGAAUGUUUGUCCUUUUGGAAUUGAUUGGGUCGCGCUUUCGGGCGACGUGUUCUAAAGUGGUUCUUUUACCUCAUCACGGGCAAACCUCAUUCAAACCAUUAUUAACACUUUGCACCUUU